CUUCUUCGAUCUGUUGGGGACAGAUAAAGUGAAUGUGCGAAUCGAUGCCGCCCGCUGUCACGAUCAUGCCUUCGCCGGCAAUGAUUUCCGUGGCGCCGCCAAUGGCCAUGGUGACGUCCGGCUGAAUAUCGGGAUUGCCAGCCUUGCCGAUGCCGGCGAUGCGUCCGCUUUUCAAUCCAAUGUCGGCCUUGACAAUGCCCCAAUGGUCGACGAUCAGCGCAUUGGUAAUCACGGUGUCCAUCACAUCCUUGUGAUUGCGCUGCGACUGGCCCAUGCCGUCACG
rnacentral:sRNA from 1 species